UAGGGAAUCUUCGGCAAUGGACGAAAGUCUGACCGAGCAACGCCGCGUGAGUGAUGAAGGUUUUCGGAUCGUAAAACUCUGUUGCCAGGGAAGAAUAGUUGGGCGAGUAACUGCGCUUAAUAUGACGGUACCUGAGAAGAAAGCCCCGGCUAACUACGUGCCAGCAGCCGCGGUAAUACGUAGGGGGCAAGCGUUGUCCGGAAUUAUUGGGCGUAAAGCGCGCGCAGGCGGUCAAGUAAGUCUGGUGUAUAAACCAAGGGCUCAACCUUUGGACGCAUUGGAAACUGUUUGACUGGAGUGUAGGAGAGGAAAGUGGAAUUCCACGUGUAGCGGUGAAAUGCGUAGAGAUGUGGAGGAACACCAGUGGCGAAGGCGACUUUCUGGCCUAUAACUGACGCUGAGGCGCGAAAGCGUGGGGAGCAAACAGGAUUAGAUACCCGUGUAGUCC
rnacentral:rRNA from 1 species